UACGAAGGGUGCUAGCGUUGUUCGGAAUCACUGGGCGUAAAGCGUGCGUAGGCGGCUUGGCAAGUCUGAUGUGAAAGCCCAGGGCUUAACCCUGGAACUGCAUUGGAAACUGCCUUGCUGGAGGACGGAAGAGGAGAGUGGAAUUCCUAGUGUAGAGGUGAAAUUCGUAGAUAUUAGGAGGAACACCAGUGGCGAAGGCGACUCUCUGGUCCGUUUCUGACGCUGAGGCACGAAAGCGUGGGGAUCAAACAGG
rnacentral:rRNA from 1 species